CUAAGGACUUCCGCAGAGUGGCACUCGAAUGGCGUUCUCAACCAACAGUGGUUCAAGAAUACCAGAAUCAGACAGUCCUGUAAGCAUAAUCAGUAUAUUAUGAAGAUUUCAGUCAGUUGCAACGGUGGUAACGAGGACUGAACAGGUCGGACCUCCAACCGGCGCAUUUAUGGCAUGUUUUAGAGAAGGACUGAACCCUU
rnacentral:lncRNA from 1 species